CCCUUUAUUAUUUCCUUCUCUGUCAUCUGCGUCGCUCACCGUUUCGGCGAUCCCAUCACUAAUAUGGCCGCCGCGAGGGUUCUCCUCCGCGAGGAUACGCCGUCGCGCGCGGCCUCCUCCCUGCCCACGGGCCGCCGGCCACCACCGCCUCCUCUGCUGCUGCCCACUCGUCCCAGACCGACUCGGCGGCGGCCGCGUCUAAGCCUAAGCUUACCAAGACCUUCUCCAUCUACCGAUGUACGAGUGUCUUCUUUGCGCCUGCUGCUGGACCUCCUGCCCUAGCUGUUGGUGGAAUCCCGAGGCCUAUCUUGGGCCAGUUGCCCUCUUUCAUGCCCAUAGGUGAAGAAUUUGGGAGAAUACGCUAUCUUUUUAUGCAACAACCAAUCUCUUUGUCUCUCUUGUAAAGACUUACCUGAGUUGAAACCAAACCACAUCUAUUUCACUAAUGACUUCUGGUGGUGGAAUGAUCACCAUAGAGAGAAAUGCCGGGAUGUAAUCGUCUAUGAUUUGGAGAACAAUACCUUCUCAUAUAUUUUGCACUCCGAUGCUCGUCUAAACAUGCCACCUCCUAUUUGGAUCACUCCCAGUCCUCUGCUUAAUGACUGAUAGGGGUUUAAGCAUUCUCUUGGAGACGCAAAAGAACAUGCCGUCAGUAACCUCUCUCUCUCUCUCUCUCUCUCUCUCUCUUUCAUGCAGCUUCUUCUUCCUCCUCCGGAAGAAGCCAAUGAUAUCUAUAUGUACAAGUGAGUCAUAGAAUCUUUUGCUUUCGAUCAUUCUCGUCUCUGAUCGGUUUGCCUACACCGAGGUGGAAGGCUUCGCUCUCUAAGGUAUGUCUGGUGGGAUGGGUUAUGGCCUUGAGCUUCUCCUAAAGAAUUAUUCUUAUUCAGUUUCAAGUCUUGUGUAAUAUGAAUCCUGAUCAGAUGAUGUGUA